rnacentral:piRNA from 1 species
UCUUCCAGAGACCCUGAGUUCAAAUCCCAG